UAGAAUUGGACCUUCGAUCAAGCUUUUUUAAAUUGGAAUAAUCCUUUCGACUAAAAUUGCAAACGGCACCUCAACUCAACCUUCAACAAAUGAGAACCCCAAAUCGAUAACGUCCCUAUCGAAUUCCACCCGUACCCUCUCCUAUUUUUCACUAAUCCAAGGCCCGAAGUAACAAACUAACGGAAAGCCCACGCUGAACAGUGAAGUUGAGUUUUGCCAGAGCUGGGAGCGGAUAAAACUGGUGGCAUUCACUGGUGGAGAGGGUGUUUUUCGAUGAGUUUGGCUGCGUUUCCCGGUGAGAAACAGUCAUUGGAACAGUACAAUUUUUCUCUCUGUUCUUCUUCAAUUUCACUCUAUUUCUCCUCUUUCCUGAUCGAUUUCAGCUCGCCAUUGCCUUUCUCUCUCUCUCUCUCCGAUAUCACGUGUCUGGUGUGUGUAUACGGUGUGUAUGUGAAAAUUCGAUAGAGUGUGAAAUUUUGUAUGUGCUCUGCUUGUAUGGAUUUUUGUCAGUAGAAAAAUGGAAGAUGAAAUGGAGAAUCUCGUGUGUGCAUGUGUUUUUUAUGUUUUUUGGUGAGAGAGUGUGUGUAUAACGUCAAGAAGAGAGCAAUUGAGUCUCUAUGUGCUGUGCGUUUCUCCCCUUUUUUUCAGUCUGCCCCCUUUCCCCUGUAAGUGUGUAUAUGUAGCGUAUGAAAAAUCAAGAAUGAAAACCGUGAGGUGAGUGUUGUGUGAUGGUAUGUGGGACCUUCUUUUUUUUUGUUGUAUUUGUCUUUCUGUUAUUAUAACAAAAGAUGAAAAAAUAUGAAUUGGGGGUAGUCACGUGGCAGGGGUAGGGAUGGUUAGGAUAGGAUAAAAUUAUUUAAGGGUUGUUAUUUUUUAUAUUUUUGUGGAAUAUAAUCACAUGGGUGAGGACACGCAAUAAGACGAGGGUAAAAUGAUAAAAAUGCUUUUUUGGAGGGAUAAAAUUACGUGUCUACAUCAUUCCCCCUUUGAAUGUAAGAACGUAGUGUUUUCAGACAAAGAAGUAGACAUCGAGACAAAAUUUUGUCCCGACCAUUAUUCAAAGGAAGAAACAGAAGGAAGAAGGGCAAUCGGAUCUUGACUUAGGACAUCCUACCUACCUAAGUUGUGAGGAAACUAAGUCACAUGUUUCUUAAAGGGUUUGAAGAGAAGUGGACUGUACCAAGCUGGAGAGUCAAGUGAGUUUCCAUUGAGGUUCCGAUCCGUGGCUCUGUCAUUCCAUCAAAAAUAAAAACUACAAGUUAAACGUAAAUGAAAAUUACAAAAAUCCUAUCUAUACAGCUUCUUUGACUCUUGACUUACUAUUUCAUCACUCUAUUCUUCAGGCGGGCUCCUGACUUGCAAUUUUUUCAACUUGUUAUUUGGCUUUCAAUUGCUUCACCUCGUUGCUUAUCUUUCAAUUUGUUCACCCUGUUCUUCAGGCGGGCUCCUGACUUGCUAUUUUUCAAUCUGUUAACUUUCAACUUUUCACCUUGUUGCUUUGUUUUCAACUUCAUCACCUUGUUGCUUGACUUUCAACUUCUUCACCAUAUUGACGGACAUUUCAUUUAUUCGCCCUGUUCUUCAGGCAGGCUCCUGAAAUCACAUUAAAACUAAAAAGAAAAUUAUCCCAAAUAAAGAUUAUUAUAAAGAGAUUUCCUUUGCCAGAAAAGUGAAGUUCCUAACACAAGAAUUAAAUUAGCACCAUUAGCAGAUGUCAUUGACUUGCUGCUUCAUUGACCCGAACUCAAAUUAUUAGGAGUGACUCUGAAAAAAACAUAAUAUCUAUGCUUUGUCAUGUUUCUAAGAUAAACCCUUUGAACCUUGGUAUUUCUAUGAGUUUUUAGAUUUGUCUGUUGAUAAAACUUUCUGCAUGCCUUUAUUUUCCGCUCACAAUCAUGUCUCUUUCAUGCGAUGGCCUUUCUGCCUUUCUUUGUACAAUUGAAGAAGUUGGUAGCUAGUUUUGAAAUCUUUUCUCACUUGUUUUGACAUAGACUUGACUCAAAGAUAAGAGAAAAUAAAAUGACAAUGAUUUUUAUGUGGAUAACUGACUCAAGAAAACAAAAAUAUAAAUAAAGAGAAGAAAGAAAAGAUAAUGAAUGUUCCCAUUUGAAACAAAAAUAAAACAAAAUAAAAAAAAUGAAAAAUUUAUCUAGAAAUGACAGUCAACUCUAAUGAUUAUGCCAUGUAUUUUGGAUAAAACUUCUUGAUCUUUUCAUCCAAACUUUUACCAUUUGUUCUUGAGUUAAUGGCCUUGAAACUGAGUUGCUUCCUUAGGUCAAUUACGUCUAAGACCUCAUUCGACUAGUGGCGCCUUGAAGGGUUUUGGCCAACAAGCUUCUCUCAUUUUCUUUUCCUCAGCUCACUAUUGUCUUAUGGUGUCUGUAAGGUUUUUCACUAAUUAGACUCUCUUAUCUUUGUUUUUCUUAACUCACAGUUAUCUUACGGUGCUCGUGAGAGUUUUCAUCAAUAAGACUCUCAUUUUUAUCUCUCUCAACUUACCAUCGUCUUAUGGUGCCCGUGAAGGUUUUUACCAAUAAGACUCUCAUUUUUAUUUCUCUCCUGAUUUCUUAUGCUGAGGAAGACAAGUAGUUCCCAAAUACAUCAUCAUAUCCCUUGCAUUCUUUGCCUCAACAUCCUCAAAUAUUGAUCUGAAGGUCUUUCUUUUGUUGUAACUUGGAUUUUGGACAAGGUUAGAAAGAAAGGAUGACAUGAGGCCCAAACGACACUUGUAGUGGGGUGGGACUUACAACUUUUGGAAUCGAUUCAAACAAUGAGGAUUCACUCAUGCCCCAGUUUCUUUUAACUAAAAAAUUCAAAAUUAUAUUUGGUUAGACCGAGCCCUGAGUAGGGAAGCCUACGUAUCUCACCCUCGAGAGAGGAGAAUUAGGUCAUGCGUAGUUCUGGCAGCUUGUUCUUUUGCUUAAUUCUAACUUUUCUUUCUUUUUUACUUUAUUGACUCUUUUCUCUUUGGGAUUUUUUUUCUGACUUCAUUUUCUUGACACUCUUCUUUUCUUUCUUUUUGGACACAUUUUUUUUUUUUUUUUUUUUAAGUUUUCUGACCUUUUUUUCAACACUUUUUCUUGGACGUUGCAGACUCUAUCCUGAUUCCAAAAGAGGGGUACGAAAGAAAAUAGAACUAAGGCUCAAAUAAGGUAAAAAAAGGAUGACACAAUAUUUGGAUAGCAGAAUGAAAUGCCUUCAUCAUAUCAAUUCUUGAAAAUGCAAGUACACACCAUGCAAUAUAAAAGUGAGAGAUGAAGAUCAUGUGUGACACUUUAACAACACAAACUUUUAACUGAGCAUGUGUGACACUUCUUUCUUCUAUACUUAUCAAACAUAUGACUCUACCGUUGUUGUAGAUCCCUCACAUUGAAUGACUCAUGAUUUCGUGGAGAUGAUUUUCUUCCCGUUUCAUUUGAUAUAGAUCACAUAUUCCUUGGUUGACCUAAUUGGGAUAUGCCUUUCGAUUGAUGACCAAGUUAUUCUUGUGAUUCUCAAAAUAAUUGCCUUAAUUUUCAAAGAAGGCCUCAACUUGUCACCAAAUGUCUCAGCACUCUACUUAUUUUCUCAGAUGCUUUCUUUUCCAAACUUUAACUCUCUGAUUCAAUGAUUCCUGAUUAAGUUGGAUUUCAAGAUCUGGCUAAAAAUUCUGUAGGCAUGUCAUAACACUAGAAUUAACAUAAAAUUCAUUGCGUAACACAGACAAACAAAGAACUUAAAAUAAGACAAAACAAACAAGGGACACCACAUUUCAUUGAAAGGAAAGAUAGAAGGGUUUAAACAAAAAUGACAGAGAAACAAAGAAGAUAGAUCCCGAACAACCCUGAAAUAAUUUGGAAAAUAGAAAAGAAAACAAAACAAACUACCAGACCUCUUCCUAGUAGGGAGAGAGGUGACUUCUCAACUGCUCAGCUUGACAACUUAGUCACUGGUUUGCAUAUCAGCAUGACUAAAACUUCCACAACGAUAAGACACAUUUUCUUUAACAAAUAAGUUUUCGGUCCUCAUGUUCAAAGCAUUGCUUCCCAUAUAUUGUGCAAUACCAUGUGCUGGCGAAUAAUUCUGUGGGAUGGUUGAGGUGCCAAUGUUUUGCACCACAAUCAAUUUUUCUUGAAUCAUCCUUGAUAUUUCUCUUUUCAAAGCGCGAAAAUUCUUAAUACUGUGACCCUGAACAUCAGAAUGAUAUGCAUAUCAUACAUUAGGAUCAAAACUUCUUGAAUGUGGGUUAGGAGUAUAACUGAGGAGAGGAGUGAUCAUGCCCCACUGUACUAAUCUCUGGAAUAAACUGGCAUAUGACUCUCCAAUUGGUGUAAAGCUAUCCCUCGAUUUCUGCCUCAUUUCAUUAUUUAGUUUUGAUCGAACCUCGGGCCUAGAAGGGCUUUGGUAUGUUUGUGGAGUUAGAGGGUGACUUUGAGGAGUUGGUGCGUGUCAUUGUGAAUAAAAAGAGAGUUGAACAUAUGGCUGUGCGCAAUAUACUAGAUAUGGUGGUGGGGAAAUAGAGUAUAAUAGAUUUUGGGAGGGAUUAUAGAGAGCUUGGGUAUGAACUUGGGCUUGAGACUAACGGUAACGAUGACGUCGCCUUCUUGGAUGUGCCUAUUCUUCAACUACAUUGACAAUUGCAUCUUUCUCAUUCUUCUUUCCUCUAGUUUCUCUUAAUUGAUUGUAAUAUUGUCCCAAAUAUUCCACGGAUUCCCCAUGUCUAUCUUGCUCCUCAAAUUUUGACAUCUUAAGGAUUGGAGGGGGGUUAACACUUGAAGACAUGCCCCAAUCUUUGUAUGUAACAUCUUCUUUACCCAUAAGUCCUAGGAAAUUUUUCGUAGCAUUUUCUGCAUUCUUCAUCUUCUCAACCAUUUUCUCUGGCUCUUCUGGCAUGCUAGGCUUCUUGUUAAAAAAUUUUGGUGGUCCAAUUAACUUAAAUGUAGGAUCAAGAGUCUAAUAAUGAUCACCAAGAGUAUCGAGCAUGGGUCCACUAACAACAUGGGGAAACACAACUGUUAGGCAUCUAGCCAAUGUGGAUGUCUCAGCGGAGGAUUGAGCACCAAAAUCACAGACGACAUGUGGUGUUGUAAAUAUAGUUGGCUUAUGCCGAGGGGCUAGAAAAAUAGUGGUGGAAGUAUUGAAAUUCUUUUGGCUUGGAAUGAAUUCUGAGGCAUGUUGUGGUGCAUCAACAACAUUAGAAUAUGGAGCUUGCCAUUGUGAUGGAGAACUCAGGUUAUUUGCGGGGUCAACAGUAGAGAAUGGAGGAGGAGGCAACUUACUGGCCCAAUCUCGAUGCAUUUCCGUCAUUUGUUGCCUUAGUCUCCUAAUCUCUUGCUUCAAACUCUCAUUUUCAUGGCUCUUUUUUUGAUCCACGAUUUCACUCUCUAUAUCCUUGUUGGAUACAACUAACUCUUCCUCGGAUUUGGUGUGAUGUGGAGGAUCAGCCAGGAUGUCACAAACCAAUCACCUUAAACCAAUCAACACUUUCUCAAACUUUUUUUAGUUUUUUCUUUUUUUUUGAAAAAGAUUACCGAAUCCAAAAAGGGCGCCUACGUAUCUCACCCCCGAAAGGGGAGAAUCAGGUGUGCGUAGUUCGUGAAGUUUUUCCAAAAUGGCCAAUUAAACUAUUUUUCUUUUUUUUUUCCUUGUAACUUUAAAAAGAAAAGAAAAUAACAAAUUGUCAAAAGAAUUAAUGAAAAUCUUUUUGCAUUUUUCAGGUUUAAACUCAUUAUACAAAAUGGAAUCUAUGAUUAUCAAAGAAAAAUCUUUUUGGAUUUUCAAUUUUGAAUUUCAUAGGAAAAUGAAACUUGAAACUAUUAAAGAAAAAUCUUUUUUUAGUUUUCUUUUGGAGAUGUAUAUGAAACACCUAUUCUAAGUGAAGAGUGAAGAAAAUCUUUUUGAAUUUUUCAGAUUCCUGUACAACAUGAAAUCUGUGAUUACCGAAGAAAAUAUUUUUGGAUUUUUGAUUUUGAAUUUCAUACGAAAAUGAAACUUGAACCUAUUCAAGGAAAUAUUUUUUUUGUUGUUUUCUUUUAAAGAUGUACAUGAGACACCUACUCUAAAUGAAGAGUGAAGAAAAUCUUUUUUGGAUUUUUGAAAUAAGAUCUCCGAACCAAUAAUAGGCUACCUACGUAUCUCACUCCCAAGAGAGGAGAAUCAGGGGUGCGUAGUUCGUCCAAAUUGGACAAUUAAGGAUUAACUAGAAAACUGAACCCUGAUUUAAGAGACAUUAACAAAGAUAAACGAUAAAAGACGUUAAAAAAUAGUUUUUUUUUGGGGGGGGGGGGGGGUUUCAAUUAGACACUUCACAUAAAACUGACACCGAUAACUAUGAAAGAAUUUUUUUUUGAAAAUUUUGAAUUAUGAAUGCAGGACAAAGAAAUAAAAGGAAAAUCUUUUGGAUGUUAUUUUUUAGGAAAAUGAGUGCGAAAGGUAAAAAAAUCGUUUGAAUUUUUGGAUUGUGAAAAAAAAUAAUCAAAAGCCAUAAAGAAUUCUAAAAACUUACGAAACACUUUUUUUCUUUUCGACUCACUUUUUCUUUUUUUUUCCUCUUUUUUUUUUCAAUUUUUCCUUGCCUACAUACUCGAUUUUUCUAGCACAUGCUCUCCUCCAAAUCAAUUCGUCAAAUGACCAUAUUACCCUUAAAGAUGCAACAUUUAGCACGCAGAGAUGCUUUAGAGGUGAGUUUCCUACAAAAGGCCACGUGAGUCCUACUAGGUCUCAAUAUGAUGCAGAUAAGCAUGAUCUAAAGGCUGACCUACGCUGGGGUUCACUAACAAGGCUGUUCGGGGGUGCAUAUGGUCGACAGUGGUUGCGAUAUCUUUCCACCCACUCCAUAACAUCGAUGGAUCCCCCUCCAAAAAUAAGAGUGACUCAACUAGAGGUCGUGGACAACACGUGUACUAUGGACUUGUUACAAAAAGAAUGACUUAGAUUAUUCACAUGAUGCCAGAUAUAAAGCGGUAACACAUAAAGUAAAACUAUAAACAAAGAGCACGUAGGCACUCAACACUGAUAAAAUGAAUACGAACAAUAACAUAAACAAUGUCUAUACACCCAUAAUGUCAAACAAAGCCGAUACAACUCCAAAAUUAGCUCGAAUUCUGAAAAGUCCCCAGCAGAGUCGCCAGAGCUGUCACACCCCUUUUUAACUCCAAAAAGAUUAAAUUUAAGUUUCGAAAGGGUUUUCAUUAUUAAAGUGACAAAAAAUGAAAAUUUUGUUUCGAAAAGGAUUAUUCACAUUUAUACUCAGAGUCGCCACUUGGCACAAAUCAGGUGUGCCAAGUCACCCAUGGAUAUCCUUUUUCAAAAUGGUUUUGACUCUAUAAAACUAAUCCGCAAACAGAGAUUCUGACUAAGAACUUCUGUUGACCGGGGGGAAGGUGUUAAGCACCCUUCGAUCCCGUGGUUCGACCACGGUCGCUUGGUGGUGAAUAUCAGCUAAUUUGACAUUACAAAUGUAUAAACCACACAAAAACACAUAAAACAAUCAAACAAACAAACAAAAUAAAAUGAAUAACAAAUAUAAUGUCCAGUCCAAUUAUACAGUCCUGAAAUAAAUAAAAAUGCAAAAAUAAAUCCUAUCUAACCUAUACUAAUCCUAACUACGCUCCCAGGAUUUAUCCGAUGCCUCGGGCCUUGAUCACAAUUCGCCUUCGCCAACAUGAUACGUCGGGGCAUUCUUCGGUGAAUAAAUACAUCAAUGUUUGGGGCAUUCUCCGGCCAAAUGAAUACAUUUCAAUCCAAAAAAAUAAAUCAACACAUUUCAACAAAACACUUUCAUCAUUUAACGAUUGCAAGUCCUACUUUUGCCUACCCGAACCUACUCUUUACUUAUCCAAUUCGACCGAUCACGAUACUAUCACAUCAACGAUGUUCAAUGAAUCAAAAUAAAUUAACGCUUACAUUUUAUCAAUUUUCGAUUCCCACCCUCCAAAAUUCAAUUCAAGGUUUCCACAUAAUCAUUCACAGUUAUGAUUUUUCAACAAUCCUCGAACACUAUCAAUGAAAUCAAACGACAAAUUGAAAUCAUGAAGUAUUCAUAUCAAAUCAUGCCUCGCAUAAAUAAUCACAUAUAGUGAAAUUAAAAAUGAGAGGUGAUAGAAUUGGACCUUCGAUCAAGCUUUUUUAAAUUGGAAUAAUCCUUUCGACUAAAAUCGCAAACGGAACCUCAACUCAACCUUCAACAAAUGAGAACCCCAAAUCGAUAACGUCCCUAUCGAAUUCCACCCGUACCCUCUCCUAUUUUUCACUAAUCCAAGGCCCGAAGUCACAAACUAACAAAAAACCCACACUGAACAGUAAAGUUGGGUCGGUUUUGGCGGUUUCCCAAUAGUUUUCGUCGGAGUUGGGAGGGGAUAAAAUUGGUGGCAUUCACUGGUGGAGAGGGUGUUUUCCGAUGAGUUUGGAUGCGUUUCCUAGUGAAAAACAGGCACCGGAAUAGUGCUAAACUUUCCCUCUGUUCUUCUUCUAUUUCACUCCAUUUCUUUUCUUUUUCAAUCAAUUUCAGCUCGCCAUUGCCUUUCUCUCUCUCUCUCCGAUCUCACGUGUCUGGUGUUUGUAUACGGUGUGUAUGUGAAAAUUUGAUGGAGUGUGAAAUUUUGUGUGUGCUGUGCCUGUAUAGAUUUUUGUCAGUAGAAAAAUGGAAGAUGAAAUGGAGAAUCUCGUAUGUGCGUGUGUUUUUUGUGUUUUCUGGCGAGAGAGUGUGUGUGUAUAACGUGAAGAAGAGAGCAAUGAAGUCUCUGUGUUCUAUGCGUUUCUCCUUUUUUCAGUCCGCCCCCUUUCCCUGUGAGUGUGUAU
rnacentral:lncRNA from 1 species